rnacentral:rRNA from 1 species
AUUGAACGCUGGCGGCAUGCCUUACACAUGCAAGUCGAGCGAAUGGAUUAAGAGCUUGCUCUUAUGAAGUUAGCGGCGGACGGGUGAGUAACACGUGGGUAACCUGCCCAUAAGACUGGGAUAACUCCGGGAAACCGGGGCUAAUACCGGAUAACAUUUUGAACCGCAUGGUUCGAAAUUGAAAGGCGGCUUCGGCUGUCACUUAUGGAUGGACCCGCGUCGCAUUAGCUAGUUGGUGAGGUAACGGCGCACCAAGGCAACGAUGCGUAGCCGACCUGAGAGGGUGAUCGGCCACACUGGGACGGAGACACGGCCCAGACUCCUACGGGAGGCAGCAGUAGGGAAUCUUCCGCAAUGGACGAAAGUCUGACGGAGCAACGCCGCGUGAGUGAUGAAGGCUUUCGGGUCGUAAAACUCUGUUGUUAGGGAAGAACAAGUGCUAGUUGAAUAAGCUGGCACCUUGACGGUACCUAACCAGAAAGCCACGGCUAACUACGUGCCAGCCGCCGCAGUAA